rnacentral:rRNA from 1 species
AUCCAAUAAGGGGCUAUAAUGCAGUCGAGCGAACAGAUAAGGAGCUUGCUCCUUUGACGUUAGCGGCGGACGGGUGAGUAACACGUGGGUAACCUACCUAUAAGACUGGGAUAACUUCGGGAAACCGGAGCUAAUACCGGAUAACAUUUGGAACCGCAUGGUUCUAAAGUGAAAGAUGGUUUUGCUAUCACUUAUAGAUGGACCCGCGCCGUAUUAGCUAGUUGGUAAGGUAACGGCUUACCAAGGCGACGAUACGUAGCCGACCUGAGAGGGUGAUCGGCCACACUGGAACUGAGACACGGUCCAGACUCCUACGGGAGGCAGCAGUAGGGAAUCUUCCGCAAUGGGCGAAAGCCUGACGGAGCAACGCCGCGUGAGUGAUGAAGGGUUUCGGCUCGUAAAACUCUGUUAUUAGGGAAGAACAAAUGUGUAAGUAACUGUGCACGUCUUGACGGUACCUAAUCAGAAAGCCACGGCUAACUACGUGCCAGCAGCCGCGGUAAUACGUAGGUGGCAAGCGUUAUCCGGAAUUAUUGGGCGUAAAGCGCGCGUAGGCGGUUUCUUAAGUCUGAUGUGAAAGCCCACGGCUCAACCGUGGAGGGUCAUUGGAAACUGGGAAACUUGAGUGCAGAAGAGGAAAGUGGAAUUCCAUGUGUAGCGGUGAAAUGCGCAGAGAUAUGGAGGAACACCAGUGGCGAAGGCGACUUUCUGGUCUGUAACUGACGCUGAUGUGCGAAAGCGUGGGGAUCAAACAGGAUUAGAUACCCUGGUAGUCCACGCCGUAAACGAUGAGUGCUAAGUGUUAGGGGGUUUCCGCCCCUUAGUGCUGCAGCUAACGCAUUAAGCACUCCGCCUGGGGAGUACGACCGCAAGGUUGAAACUCAAAGGAAUUGACGGGGACCCGCACAAGCGGUGGAGCAUGUGGUUUAAUUCGAAGCAACGCGAAGAACCUUACCAAAUCUUGACAUCCUUUGAAAACUCUAGAGAUAGAGCCUUCCCCUUCGGGGGACAAAGUGACAGGUGGUGCAUGGUUGUCGUCAGCUCGUGUCGUGAGAUGUUGGGUUAAGUCCCGCAACGAGCGCAACCCUUAAGCUUAGUUGCCAUCAUUAAGUUGGGCACUCUAGGUUGACUGCCGGUGACAAACCGGAGGAAGGUGGGGAUGACGUCAAAUCAUCAUGCCCCUUAUGAUUUGGGCUACACACGUGCUACAAUGGACAAUACAAAGGGCAGCUAAACCGCGAGGUCAUGCAAAUCCCAUAAAGUUGUUCUCAGUUCGGAUUGUAGUCUGCAACUCGACUACAUGAAGCUGGAAUCGCUAGUAAUCGUAGAUCAGCAUGCUACGGUGAAUACGUUCCCGGGUCUUGUACACACCGCCCGUCACACCACGAGAGUUUGUAACACCCGAAGCCGGUGGAGUAACCAUUAUGGAGCUAGCCGUCGAACUAACAAGUA